CCGAAUUCCCAAGGAAGUCAUUGAAAACUUGGUAGAGAAGUGUAUUAAAGAUUACACAAAAACUUUUGGAUGCAAAGGAGGAUCCUGAGGUCGGAACGUUUCUAAAAAGAGAAUUAUCUGAGGAAUCUGAGGCAGAAUCAAAUAUUCUUUUGGAGGAUAAUUUACUUAAUGGUCUUGACAAUUGGCUUGAACGAUUGUUUGACGGAAGGACACAAAAAUACUACAUAAAUUAUUGGCCAGACUUUAUUUCCAAGUGAUUUACUUAUCAGAUCCUUUGUAAAACCAAAUUACCCAAACUUUAUUAUAUUUAAUCUCAAAUAAAGA
rnacentral:misc_RNA from 1 species